AAGUUAUAGAAGCCCUUCCUAUGUUACCUGUGUUAAUUCCUACACUGAUGUCUGAUUGUGUGAACACAUAAAUGAUUUUCAAUAACCAAAUGCAAUGCAAGUUAAGGAUAGACACUGUAGCCCUACGGGAAAGGGAAAAUAGUCUUCCUCUUGUCCCUACCCUCCUGUAACUCUGUAAGAAGAAGCUCUUAUAUUUAAUCUUACCUCAUCUGUGAUGUCUAAUUAAUGGGGUGAGCACAAAAAUGGGACUCUGUUG
rnacentral:lncRNA from 1 species